AGAGUUUGAUCCUGGCUCAGGAUUAACGCUGGCGGCGUGCCUAACACAUGCAAGUCGAACGAGGUAGCAAUACCUAGUGGCAGACGGGUGAGUAACGCGUGGUCAACCUACCGUUGAGUGGGGGAUAACUAGCCGAAAGGUUAGCUAAUACCGCAUACGAGUCUCGGGGGCAUCCCUGGGCCUUAAAAGGAGCAAUCCGCUCGAUGACGGGACCGCGUCCCAUUAGCUAGAUGGUGGGGUAACGGCCUACCAUGGCACCGAUGGGUAGCUGGUUUGAGAGAGCGACCAGCCACACUGGGACUGAGAAACGGCCCAGACUCCUACGGGAGGCAGCAGUGAGGAAUUUUCCGCAAUGGGCGAAAGCCUGACGGAGCGACGCCGCGUGUGGGAAGAAGGCCUUCGGGUCGUAAACCACUGUCGAAGGGGACGAUAAUGACGGUACCCUUGGAGGAAGCCC
rnacentral:rRNA from 1 species